AUUGAACGCUGGCUGCAGGCCUAACACAUGCAAGUCGAACGAGUUUCGGUCGUUUGAGUAAUGUCUGAGCAACUGCCUCUUUGAGGGUGAUAACUACUGGAAACGGUAGUUAAUACCGCAUACCAUCGGCUUUUCCCAGAUUGGUUUAGCUAGUGGGUGGGUUAAAGGCUCACCUAGGCGACGAUCCCUAGCUGGUCUGAGAGGAUGACCAGCCACACUGGAACUGAGACACGGUCCAGACUCCUACGGGAGGCAGCAGUGGGGAAUAUUGCACAAUGGGCGAAAGCCUGAUGCAGCCAUGCCGCGUGUAUGAAGAAGGCCUUCGGGUUGUAAAGUACGUUCAGCGGGGAGGCGUUACCCGCAGAAGAAGCACCGGCUAACUCCGUGCCAGCAGCCGCGGUAAUUC
rnacentral:rRNA from 1 species